CCCGACUGCUAUUUGGGUGAGAAUAAGCCAUGCAAGUUGAAUGGAAUGCCAAAAUAUUCCAUGGCAAACUGCUCAAUAACACGUGAUCAACUUACCCUAUGGAAAACAAUAACCUCCGGAAACGGAGGAUAAUGGUUUAUAGUUGAAAAGGCUUGGAAAAGUUUUUCAAUAAAAGGGAAUAAUAAAAAUGGUUAUUAUUUUGCCAUAGGAUAGGAUUGCGGUCGAUUAUGGCUGUUGGUGAGGUAAUGGCUCACCAAACCAAUAAUCGAUAGGGGCCGUGAGAGCGGGAGCCCCGAGAUGGGUACUGAGACAACGACCCAGGCCUUACGAGGCGCAGCAGGCGCGAAAACUCCGCAAUACACGAAAGUGUGACGGGGUUACCCAAAGUGCUUAAUAUUUAAGCUGUGGUAAGUGUGUAAUGUACCUUACUAGAAAGGAGAGGGCAAGGCUGGUGCCAGCCGCCGCGGUAAAACCAGCUCUUCAAGUGGUCGGGAUAUUUAUUGGGCUUAAAGUGUCCGUAGCUUGUAUAAUAAGUUCCUGGUAAAAUCUAAUAGCUUAACUAUUAGUAUGCUAGGAAUACUGUUAUACUAGAGGGCGGGAGAGGUUUGAGGUACUUCAGGGGUAGGGGUGAAAUCCUAUAAUCCUUGAAGGACCACCAGUGGCGAAGGCGUCAGACUGGAACGCGCCUGACGGUGAGGGACGAAAGCCAGGGGAGCGAACCGGAUUAGAUACCCGGGUAGUCCUGGCCGUAAACGAUGCACACUAGGUGUUGGUAUGGCUAUGAGCCAUAUCAGUGCCGAAGGGAAACCAUUAAGUGUGCCGCCUGGGAAGUACGGUCGCAAGGCUAAAACU
rnacentral:rRNA from 1 species